GAUGAACGCUGGCGGCGUGCCUAAUACAUGCAAGUCGAGCGAACAGACGAGGAGCUUGCUCCUCUGACGUUAGCGGCGGACGGGUGAGUAGCACGUGGAUAACCUACCUAUAAGACUGGGAUAACUUCGGGAAACCGGAGCUAAUACCGGAUAAUAUAUUGAACCGCAUGGUUCAAUAGUGAAAGACGGUUUUGCUGUCACUUAUAGAUGGAUCCGCGCCGCAUUAGCUAGUUGGUAAGGUAACGGCUUACCAAGGCGACGAUGCGUAGCCGACCUGAGAGGGUGAUCGGCCACACUGGAACUGAGACACGGUCCAGACUCCUACGGGAGGCAGCAGUAGGGAAUCUUCCGCAAUGGGCGAAAGCCUGACGGAGCAACGCCGCGUGAGUGAUGAAGGUCUUCGGAUCGUAAAACUCUGUCAUUAGGGAAGAACAAAUGUGUAAGUAACUAUGCACGUCUUGACGGUACCUAAUCAGAAAGCCACGGCUAACUACGUG
rnacentral:rRNA from 1 species